UACGUAGGGACCGAGCGUUGUCCGGAAUCAUUGGGCGUAAAGAGCGUGUAGGCGGCCAUUUAAGUCCUGCGUGAAAUCUUGCGGCUCAACCGCAAGCGGUCGUGGGAAACUGGGUGGCUAGAGUGCGGGAGAGGAGAGUGGAAUUCCUGGUGUAGCGGUGGAAUGCGCAGAUAUCAGGAAGAACACCCGUGGCGAAGGCGGCUCUCUGGGACGGUACUGACGCUGAGACGCGAAAGCGUGGGGAGCGAACAGG
rnacentral:rRNA from 1 species